AGCAGUCGCCGCGGGAAUACGUAGGGUGCGAGCGUUAAUCGGAAUUACUGGGCGUAAAGCGUGCGCAGGCGGUUGUGUAAGACAGGUGUGAAAUCCCCGGGCUUAACCUGGGAACUGCGCUUGUGACUGCACAGCUAGAGUAUGGCAGAGGGGGGUGGAAUUCCACGUGUAGCAGUGAAAUGCGUAGAGAUGUGGAGGAACACCGAUGGCGAAGGCAGCCCCCUGGGCCAAUAUUGACGCUCAUGCACGAAAGCGUGGGGAGCAAACAGGAUUAGAUACCCGCGUAGUCCCUGUCUCUUAUAA
rnacentral:rRNA from 1 species